AGUUUUUAUAGCAAUAUGAAGACCUAGAGCGGCGCACGGGUGAGUAACGCGUACACGACCUGGCCUAAACUGGGGGAUAGCCUUGGGAAACUGAGAGUAAUCCCGCAUGUGAUUAUGUUACUGAUGGUGAUAUAAUUAAAGCUUCGGCGGUUUAGGAUGGGUGUGCGUCUGAUUAGCUAGUUGGUAGUGUAACGGACUACCAAGGCGAUGAUCAGUAGGGGGCGUGAGAGCGUGACCCCCCACACGGGUACUGAGACACGGACCCGACUCCUACGGGAGGCAGCAGUAAGGAAUAUUGGUCAAUGCCCGGAAGGGUGAACCAGCCAUCCCGCGUGAAGGAUGAAGGGGCUCUGCCUUGUAAACUUCUUUUGUAUGGGGCGAAAAAAGGGGAUUUAUCCUCGACUGACGGUACCAUAAGAAUAAGCACCGGCUAACUCCGUGCCAGCAGCCGCGGUAAUACGGAGGGUGCGAACGUUAUCCGGAAUCACUGGGUUUAAAGGGUGCGUAGGCUGUUUAAUA
rnacentral:rRNA from 1 species